AGGGAUCAACUUUUAGUGUGUGAAAUAAUUUUUAUUGAAAUAUCAACAGUCAACACAACCAUCAUGUCUAAACAUCCCGCAGGUUACUAUGGGGACUAUAACCCAGAUUUGGUUGUUAACCACGCUGGGUUAACCGAAGAGGAGGUGGACCACCUCCUCACCCAAAUUCCCGCGGGCACCUUCGAGUGGGUUUCCCUUAUUAACAUCUAUCUGCGACUGGAACCGCCCCCAUCCCUUGGAGGUUAUUUUGAUAUUUUUACCGUGGGGCGCUUGACCGCCGCGAUAGACACCGAUGAGGAGCGGGGUAUAAUUGACAUUUGGGUAUGGGUACAUUAAACCUCAUACAUGUUGGAUCGUUUUAUGAUGUUCAUAGCGUUUUUUAUGAUGUUCAUAGCGUUAGGUUUGGCUUAAAAACUGCAAUUAAAAAUUUAUUUAGGUGUAUGACUUUUUUAGUUUAAGUAUGUAGUUUGUUUUAUGUAUAAUAAAAAAUAAUAUUCAUUCUGAUUAUUUUUGUGAUCUUAUUUCCUGUCUAACGUUUUUUUCUUGUAAAUUUAUGAAUCAAAAAUUUUAUAAAUAUCCAGUUGUAUUUGAUUAUUAAUUUAUCGUUACAAUCAUUUUCCCCAAAAAAUUUAUAUCCAAUAGUUUACAAACAAUAUAUACAUUUCUAAUAGUUAAAACACAUUUAUACAUCUUUUAUAAAAAAAGUGGAUUUGUUUAAUUGAAAUAGGUAAAAAUUCAUAUCCAAAACCUUAAUUAAUUACUGGGCGGUUAACAUUUUUUACCAAAAGAUUUUGAAGAAUUUACAACAAUUUAUCAUAAACCCUCAACAGAUGAUAUAGUAAUUAUUGUAAAAGCUGAAGUUUAUAUUUUUUUCAUUAUCUACUUUUAGAUUUAAAACUAAUUAUCCGAAAUCUAUAAGCGAAGAAUUUAAAAUAUCAAGUCCAAUUUCGGCAGCGAUAACAACUUACUCAGGUGGUAUUUAUCUUUUUCUCAGAGAUAAUACAUAUAUUACAUUAUCUAGUUGCAUCUCUGGAUAUAAUGUUCCUGGUUUAACAAACGAAUUAUUUGAAGGUGUUCCUAAUAAAAUAACAAGGACAUUUAGAUAUUUAAACGGAAAGCUGUACUUUUUUAAUGAAAAUAAUUACUUUGAAUAUGAUGAGUUUACUAAGAGUGUCAUACAAGCGGGACCUAAAACUUUAUCUAUAUUUAACAUUAAUUGUCCGCGAGAACCCAUCUUAAUUCAAUUGAAAAAAUUAUCUUUUAAAAAGAUUAUUACACACAAUGCAGUCCUGGUUGAAAAUUUAACAGAUUAUACUCGUGAAGAAGAUAGUUGGUGUAGUUGGUGUAUUCAUCAGUGUUUGUUUACACUUCAGACCUACAAAAGUUGUGCCAAAAAGACGCAUCGUAAGUUUAUCGAAAAUAUUGACUUCGGCACAAGUUCUUCAUCCACAAAUUCUUCCGAUUCAGACUACUGAAUUCUUCUCUAAAACCAACAUAAAUAAUCUUUUUUUGGUAAAUUCUUUAAUUUUUUAAAUUUGUUUACCACAUUUGAUUGCUAAAAAUGUGUUUAAUUUUUUAGGAAAAUUUUUAUCAAAUUUUUAUCAAACAAAAAGUGCGUCACAAAAUUCCUACGAUAAGGAAAGCGUGUUAUCUGUUAACCGCAAAAAUUGAUUAUAAAAGUUCCGUUUUUUACACAUUUCACCAGUUUUAUUAAAACUAUCUUUGUGAGAAGUUGUAUGUGCUCCGCUGUGUAUUUUUGCAUUUAAAUUUCAAAGGAUUCUGUAAUGGCUGAUCAACUAUUAAAUCUGAAUAAAAUUGCUGCCUGUGAAUAUACUGAUACAUAUGUCAGUGCCAACGAUUUGGAAGUGAACAAGAAAUAUAAAAUCAUCAAUUUAACCAAGGCAAACACACAACAUGGGGUUAUGAUGGUAGCAUAUCUGGACAACGUCGGUAAAGUUUUUUUACCUAAACGACUAACAGCAGUUAUGAAUGAUACCAUAAUUACGACACUAAUGGAAGGACUCGGAUCUUAUUUGAUUUAUAUGGGACGUAAGCAAGCUAAUGGAAAUCAGGAACAUGAUGCCCACAUUUUUAAUUUCGAACGUAUUGUUCACGAAGAUUAAUGUAAAAUUUUUUGGUUUCCAAAAUAGACAGCACUAUCCACUCUACCUACCUGAGGUUCGACUCCCCAUGGAAGGAACAACAACAACAACAACUUUUUUUGCAUUAUAUUUUAAACAAAUAACAAAAUAAACUUGGUGCGCAACAGACAAGUUAGGCAAACAACAUUACAAAAAUAAAAAACUACAUAUACUA